GACGAACGCUGGCGGCGUGCUUAACACAUGCAAGUCGAACGGAAAGGCCCUGCUUUUGUGGGGUGCUCGAGUGGCGAACGGGUGAGUAACACGUGAGUAACCUGCCCUUGACUUUGGGAUAACUUCAGGAAACUGGGGCUAAUACCGGAUAGGAGCUCCUGCUGCAUGGUGGGGGUUGGAAAGUUUCGGCGGUUGGGGAUGGACUCGCGGCUUAUCAGCUUGUUGGUGGGGUAGUGGCUUACCAAGGCUUUGACGGGUAGCCGGCCUGAGAGGGUGACCGGCCACAUUGGGACUGAGAUACGGACCAGACGCCUACGGGAGGCAGCAGGGGGGAAUAUUGCACAAUGGGCGGAAGCCUGAUGCAGCAACGCCGCGUGCGGGAUGACGGUCUUCGGGUUGUAAACCGCUUUCGCCUGUGACGAAGCGUGAGUGACGGUAAUGGGUAAAGAAGCACCGGCUAACUACGUG
rnacentral:rRNA from 1 species